GGUCUCUGUUAAUACCAGGGGCUGAUGACGGUACCGUAAGAAUAAGCACCGGCUAACUACGUGCCAGCAGCCGCGGUAAUACGUAGGGUGCGAGCGUUAAUCGGAAUUACUGGGCGUAAAGCGUGCGCAGGCGGUCUUGUAAGACAGAUGUGAAAUCCCCGGGCUCAACCUGGGAACUGCAUUUGUGACUGCAAGGCUAGAGUGCGGCAGAGGGGGAUGGAAUUCCGCGUGUAGCAGUGAAAUGCGUAGAUAUGCGGAGGAACACCGAUGGCG
rnacentral:rRNA from 1 species